AAUGGGCGCAAGCCUGAUCCAGCCAUGCCGCGUGAGUGACGACGGCCUUAGGGUUGUAAAGCUCUUUCAGAUGCGAAGAUAAUGACGGUAACAUCAGAAGAAGCUCCGGCUAAAUUCGUGCCAGCAGCCGCGGUAAUACGAAUGUAGCAAGCGUUGUUCGGAAUCACUGGGCGUAAAGCGUACGUAGGCUGAUUUUCAAGUCAGAAGUGAAAGCCCAGGGCUCAACCCUGGAACGGCUUUUGAAACUGGAAGUCUAGAGUCCCGGAGAGGUUAGGGGAAUUCCGAGUGUAGCAGUGAAAUGCGCAGAUAUUCGGAGGAACACCAGUGGCGUAGGCGCCUAACUGGACGGGAACUGACGCUGAGGUACGAAAGCGUGGGGAGCAAACAGGAUU
rnacentral:rRNA from 1 species